AGAACGAACGCUGGCGGCAGGCCUAACACAUGCAAGUCGAGCGCCCAGCAAUGGGAGCGGCGGACGGGUGAGUAACACGUGGGAAUAUGCCUUUCGGUUCGGCACAACUCAGGGAAACUUGAGCUAAUUCCGGAUACGCCCUUACGGGGAAAGAUUUAUCGCCGAAAGAUUAGCCCGCGUUGGAUUAGCUAGUUGGUGAGGUAACGGCCCACCAAGGCGACGAUCCAUAGCUGGUUUGAGAGAACGACCAGCCACACUGGGACUGAGACACGGCCCAGACUCCUACGGGAGGCAGCAGUGGGGAAUCUUGGACAAUGGGGGAAACCCUGAUCCAGCCAUGCCGCGUGAGUGAUGAAGGCCUUCGGGUUGUAAAACUCUUUUGGCGGGGACGAUAAUGACGGUACCCGCAGAAUAAGCUCCGGCUAACUUCGCGCCAGCAGCCGC
rnacentral:rRNA from 1 species